rfam:Brassica napus, WGS project CCCW01000000 data, contig: 32744
AAUCUGUGGUGUGGACAGUCUCGCUGGAAAAACCUAAAUCUAAUCUACGCAUCUUUGAAGGAUUCUCCAGCCUUCUGCGAGAAUGUGGAAAUCUUGUUCCGAAGUUC